AAGAGUUUGAUCAUGGCUCAGGACGAACGCUGGCGGCGUGCUUAACACAUGCAAGUCGAACGGUAAGGCCCUUCGGGGUACACGAGUGGCGAACGGGUGAGUAACACGUGGGUGAUCUGCCCUGCACUUUGGGAUAAGCCUGGGAAACUGGGUCUAAUACCGAAUAGGACCAUGGACUUCACGGUUUGUGGUGGAAAGCUUUUGCGGUGUGGGAUGGGCCCGAGGCCUAUCAGCUUGUUGGUGGGGUAAUGGCCUACCAAGGCGACGACGGGUAGCCGGCCUGAGAGGGUGACCGGCCACACUGGGACUGAGAUACGGCCCAGACUCCUACGGGAGGCAGCAGUGGGGAAUAUUGCACAAUGGGCGCAAGCCUGAUGCAGCGACGCCGCGUGAGGGAUGACGGCCUUCGGGUUGUAAACCUCUUUCAGCACAGACGAAGCGCAAGUGACGGUAUGUGCAGAAGAAGGACCGGCCAACUACGUG
rnacentral:rRNA from 1 species